rnacentral:rRNA from 1 species
GUAAUGGCCUACCAAGGCGAUGACGGGUAGCUGGCGUGAGAGCGCGACCAGCCACACUGGGACUGAGACACGGCCCAGACUCCUACGGGAGGCAGCAGUGGGGAAUAUUGCGCAAUGGGCGAAAGCCUGAUGCAGCGACGCCGCGUGAGGGAUGACGGCCUUCGGGUUGUAAACCUCUUUCAGCAGGGACGAAGCGCAAGUGACGGUACCUGCAGAAGAAGCACCGGCUAACUACGUGCCAGCAGCCGCGGUAAUACGUAGGGUGCAAGCGUUGUCCGGAAUUACUGGGCGUAAAGAGUUCGUAGGCGGUUUGUCGCGUCGGUUGUGAAAGCCCGGGGCUUAACCCCGGGUCUGCAGUCGAUACGGGCAGGCUAGAGUUCGGUAGGGGAGAUCGGAAUUCCUGGUGUAGCGGUGAAAUGCGCAGAUAUCAGGAGGAACACCGGUGGCGAAGGCGGAUCUCUGGGCCGAUACUGACGCUGAGGAGCGAAAGCGUGGGGAGCGAACAGGAUUAGAUACCCUGGUAGUCCACGCCGUAAACGGUGGGCACUA